rnacentral:lncRNA from 1 species
AAUAAAAAGUGUUUCAUGGAUACAUUCCUGUCCUCGGUGAGGCUUCUCCCACAAAUCAAUAGCCAUCCUUCAGACCAUAUGAAGAAUGUGAUUAUUGUGUAUUAAUAUAAAAACACAGAGUAGAUAUCUUAAACCCAAAAGUCUUCAAGAGACAAUUAAAUCAUGUAGAUAUAAAGGGAAAAAAUGUGAUAGAGGUUCUGAACUGAAGGAAUGAUGCCCCACUUUAGAGACAUCAAUUUUUUUUUUAAAGUAAGAGUAUAUUCCAUCAAGCAAUACAUAUUUGUAGCUCCAAUUUAGCAACUCUCUUGUGCCAGAGGUCAGCAAGUGAAUCUGCAAAAUCCUAGCAGAUGUUUGUGUGCCCAGGAACAAAGGUACAAGCAUACUUUGUUCAGUCAUUCAUUAAUGUAUACAUUCAAGUUAUUCACUGAAAAUAUUUCUUGAGUGCUUUUUUUAUUCUAGGUAUCACUAGAUAUUGAUAGAGAAGCUGAAAAGUGAAUAUUAAACAAGUAAUCACAUAAAUAGAAUUACAUUUGUGAUAAACUGUAAUGAAUGAAAAUCCCAAUCAACUGUAAGAAUGUACAUUGCAGUUCAUAAAAUUUGCUUGCUUGUAAAUCACAUCACUAUUUUAAACCCAGUUGCUUUAGUUAGCUUUGCAACACUUUGACCAAAAGAACUUGACAAGAGCAACACAGAGAAGUUCAUUUUUGGCUCACAGUUUCAGAGGUCUCAGUCCAUAGAUGGCCUACUUCAUAGCUCUGACCCCAAGGUGAGGCAAAACAUCAUGGCGGAAACGCAUGAAAGAGUAAAGCAGUUCAAGGCAUGUCAACAAGGAAGCAAAGUGAGAGAGCGCUGUUUACCAGGGACAAAAUAGAAAUCCCAAAGGCAUGUCACCUGUAACUUACCUCCUUCAGCCACACCUUACCUGUCUACAGUUACUGCCCAGUCAAUCCACAUUAGUGAAAUGAUCCACUAUUUAGGUUAAG